UACGAAGGGGGCUAGCGUUGCUCGGAAUCACUGGGCGUAAAGGGUGCGUAGGCGGGUCUUUUAAGUCAGGGGUGAAAUCCUGGAGCUCAACUCCAGAACUGCCUUUGAUACUGAGGAUCUUGAGUUCGGGAGAGGUGAGUGGAACUGCGAGUGUAGAGGUGAAAUUCGUAGAUAUUCGCAAGAACACCAGUGGCGAAGGCGGCUCACUGGCCCGAUACUGACGCUGAGGCACGAAAGCGUGGGGAAGC
rnacentral:rRNA from 1 species